GUAUUGUACCUAAACCAUAACUAUUUAAUAUGUAUCAUAUUUCAGAUAAGAUUCCUGAGCGCUUGUGACUUGGUGAAUAUAUAAAAUGUUGCCUAUAGUGUAUCUUUACACGUUGCAGCUGUUGAAGAGUGAAGUACGUCGGUUGGAGCGUAACCAGGAACGGGAGAAGAGCGUGGCAAACCUGGAGUAUCUAAAAAACGUUUUGCUGCAGUUCAUCUUCCUGCGAUCAGGCAGCGAGAGGCAGGCACUGCUUCCUGUCAUUCACACCAUGUUGCAGCUCAACCCAGAUGAGAAAAGCAAACUGGCUGCCAUUGCACAAGGCGAGGAGGAGGCGUCAGGAACUCGGGGCACAGGCUGGGGAUCUUAUCUCCACAGCUGGUCUGGGAUCAGAUAGACCAGCUCAGCACCAGCCAACAGCAGAGGUCUGGAUACAUGAACAUAUGACUUGAAGUCCAAUAAUUUGAAGGGCAAAAUAGAGGUGACCAAUGAAUGUAUAUUGACAAAUAUUUUACAGCUCAUGAAAACGAAAUUUGAUCCCCCCAGUCAGACUUGAUAGAAGAAUAAGUUGCAAGUUGAUAGAUACAAUAUAUUCCUCUUGCAGUGACAUUAAUAAUGGCAAAAUACUGUAUGUACAGCAUUCAUUAUUCAUAACGCAGCUAAGGUCUCUUCCAGGAGGUGGAGCUCAUGAGGCAUUAUACAAACUGAAUCUGUCUGGAGAGGACUUAAUUUAUUGUGUAGCCCUUUGCUUGAGAUUUGGUUGUUUAGUUAUUUUCUGGACUCUGGUUCUGCCAUCAAUAUUGUUAAUGGGCCAAUUCAUUCUUCUGUGUGCACUCUUUACUCCCAUUAUGAGUUGCUUAAUUUGGGCUACUCCAUUGUAUGUUAUUUAAAUGUAUUCCAAAUUUGAUAAAAACCAUUUGCUAGAUUAAAAUAUGAUGUUUGUCAUGAGUCCAGUUAAAGGUGUCUUAUAUAUUUUGUCUUCCACUUAACCUCUCUUUCAUUCCAUUUAUAUAACGUCAAAAGCGUUCUGCAUUUAGUGUUUAAGUGUUCUUGAUGAAGAAUGAGGGAAUGGUUUUGAGUCUUUAUGUAGUAAUAAAAUCAACUAGGAAUGAACUGGUUUUGUUUUCACAGGCUCCCCUGACCAAUAUGGCCGACAGAAAUUAUUUGUUUGCUGAUGAGUGAUUUUGAAGGUGUUACUUUGGCCUUGAACUCUGAAAAAGAGCAUCUGUAAAUUUCACCCAUUAAGAUGUGAUUCAUUGUUUCAUGUUUUUUCCCUAUUGUGGAGUGAUUUGACCUCUUAUUUAUUUUUGCUGUUGUGCUUUAUUGUAUUAAUCUUCAUUUGUAACUUCAUCAUGAUCAGAGUUUAGACAUAAUGUGAUUAUUGGAAUCGCUUUACUUUCUCAUCUCAUUGGCAGCUGAUUGUGAGUCCUUUCGCAUCAAUGAUUGUGAAUUUUUAAUCAGGGUUUCUGUUGUUGAUAUGGGUAGCAUCAUCUGGAAUUGGCCAAUUCAAGCAAUUAAAAAUGAGGGUCUGUAUAGAAGUGAUUCAGCAUAGCAUGCUAAUCAUCUCAGUGUAAAUUAUACUUGCCUCUGUGCUUUGACUAGCAAUAUCACAAAAAUUAAGUUCUGUACACAGAUACAAUAAACAUUCAACGUUGAGCUUCCA